rnacentral:rRNA from 1 species
UCCGUAGGCGAACAAAUGGAUGCAUCACUAGCGAGUUUACGCUCUACAACCCUUUGUGAACAUACCUACAACUGUUGCUUCGGCGGGUAGGGUCUCCGCGACCCCUUAAGGCUCCCGCCUCCGGGCGGGUCGGCGCCCGCCGGAGGAUAACCAAACUCUGAUUUAACGACGUUUCUUCUGAGUGGUACAAGCAAAUAAUCAAAACUUUUAACAACGGAUCUCUUGGUUCUGGCAUCGAUGAAGAACGCAGCGAAAUGCGAUAAGUAAUGUGAAUUGCAGAAUUCAGUGAAUCAUCGAAUCUUUGAACGCACAUUGCGCCCGCCAGCAUUCUGGCGGGCAUGCCUGUUCGAGCGUCAUUUCAACCCUCAAGCUCUGCUUGGUGUUGGGGCCCUACAGCCGAUGUAGGCCCUCAAAGGUAGUGGCGGACCCUCCCGGAGCCUCCUUUGCGUAGUAACUUUACGUCUCGCACUGGGAUCCGGAGGGACUCUUGCCGUAAAACCCCCCAAUUUUCCAAAGGUUGACCUCGGAUCAGGUAGGAAUACCCGCAGAACAUAAGCAUAUCAAUAGUCGGAGGAAGAUCAUUACAGAGUUUACACUCUACAACCUUUGUGAACAUACUACAGUGUUGCUUGGCAGGUAGGGUUUCGCGACCUCCGGUCUCCGCCUCCGGAGGGUCGGCGCCGCGGAGGAUGACAAACUCGAUUUAACACAUCUCUCUGAAAGGUACAUGUAAUAAUCAAACUUUUA